rnacentral:rRNA from 1 species
GACGUAGGGGGCGAGCGUUGUCCGGAUUUAUUGGGCGUAAAGCGCGCGUAGGCGGCCCGUUAAGUCGGAUGUGAAAACCCGGGGCUCAACCCCGGGCCUGCAUUCGAUACUGGCGGGCUCGAGGCAGGCAGGGGAGAGUGGAAUUCCUGGUGUAGCGGUGAAAUGCGCAGAUAUCAGGAGGAACACCGGUGGCGAAGGCGGCGACCUGGGACGAUACUGACGCUGAGGUGCGAAAGCGUGGGGAGCAAACAGG